GGUUUAAACUAUGACACCUGAAUAAAGUACCUCUCCAUCCAUUCUUUCAUCACGUCUUUGAAAAUCUGCUUUAACAUGGAAUAAAGACUGUGUCCUGUUCCUGUGAGAACACAGAGUUGCCUCCUUCCUCCACAGCAGGAGGACAUCACUCCAUUCUGGAGGAUACAGUGCCACCAGCACUUAGUGCUACAGUCAUUAUCAUCGUCACCAUUAUCAUAUCAGGGAGCGCUUACUUGUGUUUCCUGAAAUACAUCUGCUCUGGAUGCUGCAAAGCUACCCAAGUAGUACCAGCCAGAAGACUUGAUCCUAGCAGGUCUGAAGAACAAGUCUAAUCUCACCUCAUCGGGUAAUUUACUGAGUUAUGGUAAGAAAUAUCUGUAACUAAGAAGAACUAUCAGAAAGCAGAGGAGACAUGUUAUUCAGUAAUAACAGCUAACAGAUCCCUACUAACAUCAAGGAUUUACCAUACUGUACGCUGUGUAACUUUGACUCUUCCUAAGUAUAGGGAAUCUUCUUCAGAAGUUAUCUGAUUAAAUGCUACUAUAGAUCACACAUUCCAGUUCUAUUUGUCUCUCUCUGACACUGUAUUUCAUUCUCUCUGAUAACAUCUGGUUUACUGUGUUUUUCUUGACACAUCUGUGCUUUCACAUUUGCUAAUGGAUUUGGGGUUCCAGAGACCUGCCGUUGCUACCAAGUGUUCUCUCUUGGAGAGAAAGAAAAAAAGCGCAGGACUAGAUACCUUGGGAACUGUCUGGAUUUGUCGUCUUCUGAAACUGUAAAGGCAAACUGGACAAACUUUUGGAGCUCUAAAGGCAAGCCUUUGCUCUCCAUAUACAGAUAUCUGCAUGAUACACUACAACUUCCAUUUAUAUCAAGGUCAAAAGAGGUGAUCUAGUGGUCUUCUGCACUUCUGAACUUAAACUCCAUGCCAACAAGUGCUCCACAUUUCUGUCACUCUCAGAUCUUUAAAGUCCAUGUGUGUCACUUUUUCUUUGCUGUUGAAACAUUUCAUAGUUGUGAUGUAACCAAGCUGCUAUUGGGCAGCUAUCAGAACCACAAUUAUAUUGAACUUUUAAUAAAAUUCUGAGCUGAUACCAUUCUGACCAUGUCCCUGCUAUUCUAGUUAUAUGUCCUAGCAAGGGAGUGAAGCAUGUUUGAACCGUAUUAGCUGUGGGGGAAAAAAAAAACAAAACAAAACAAAACAAAACAUGUCUGGAUGAAAUAAAAAAUGAACCCGAAUCUUUCUGACAGCAGAUAUUUUUACACUUUCCUGGAAUCAGCUCAGAAAACAAAGUUCAGAAGAAAAUAUCAAUGGAAUGGCUCCUCUUAGGCUGCUUUGGCUUAAUCUGAACAGGCAAGAAUUGAAAAGCUUUUUGGAAGAUCUGAUUGUGGGCUCCCGAAGCAAAAGAAGUACAGAUAAAUAAAGGGAAAUAUCCAAAGAUGACCUGUUUGAGAGCUCCCUGCAUCAAGUCUUUGAAAUGUGUGUUAUCACUAAAAUGUUCACCGAGCCAAGUACAGCUAUAUUUGCCCUCCUACAAAGGCUCCAGGAGACUGGUUUUAUGUCUGCUUCUCCUUUCCCCCUUUAAAACAAAACCUAAACAGUUCUGGUCUUUGUUUUUACA